rnacentral:lncRNA from 1 species
AUCAACUUCCCCUACCUCUACAUCGUGGCUUCCAUGAUGCUCAACGUACGCCUGCAGAACCCCCAGCCCCAUUUUGUGGUUCGUUCCCUAAAACGCUCUUGAUGAUGAUGAUGGUAGCUGCUGUUUAUGGAACGCUGGUCAGAGAAGAUGCCAGGUGUUCACACAGUGAGUUCCCACAGCACGCUGAGGACAGAGGAUGGCCUGAAGACAGCCCACGUCUGAGCGCACCUUUAGCAGGCAGGUUCAUAUUGAGAUCCACUGAAGGCCUUCCACUUACUGACAGGAGUGUCAUCAGGCUCAC